rnacentral:misc_RNA from 1 species
AUAAUGAAUUUUAUAAGCCAUAUGAAAUCAUUGAUAUGUAUAUACACACAUACAUCUGGAGAUCAAAACCACAAGGAGAUGGAAACCGACAUCUGUUGUCAUGUAGAAAUGAUCAUGCACCUGUGCACAACACAUACUCAUGCCAAGAAAUGAUGUGAUCAAAGUUUAAUCUAAAUAUUCUACAGCAUGCAUUAAAGUCUACAAAUCUGUCGAGAUAAUUACAAAUUACACUUAAUCCAUCAAGAUAAUAACCAAGAUUAAA